AAGAUUAUCUCCAUACAAAUAGAAGUAGACAAGAUAGAAAAAAAAAUGAAAGGUAGCAAAGAGAACAAGAUAGUCGAAAGUGAAUCCAAGUAAUUUUUCAUCCCAAAAUAAGAUCACUCUACUACAAUAACUAAUCAGUAUUGUCUAAUACUUGGUUUCAUUCAUUAACUUAGAAAAUACACUUGAUCAAUAAACUACUCUCGUCUUUUCGAGUUGCCAAAAGGAGGAUGUCAAACCAGUUUGUCAUAUGAUGAUCGACCCAUUAUAAAACCAAUGGAACUAACUUGUACACAAUUAAGUCAACCAUAUAACUAAUUGACUUAAGGUUCUAAAAUUUUCAUAUAAGCAACAAUAUCUAAGGAUUAUGUCCUUUUGAGAAGAUAGCCCAGAAGGAUUCCCAGCAAUGCAAUGACGAGAACAUAUACAGUUGGGAUACCACCACGACUUCUGUUAUGUUCCCGUCUUAACAGCUCCAAUUCUUGCUGAAGCUUGUUA
rnacentral:misc_RNA from 1 species